AACGAACGCUGGCGGCAUGCCUAACACAUGCAAGUCGAACGAUACCUUCGGGUCUAGUGGCGCACGGGUGCGUAACGCGUGGGAACCUGCCCUUAGGUUCGGAAUAACUCCUCGAAGGGGGUGCUAAUACCGGAUAAUGUCUUCGAACCAAUGAUUUAUCGCCUCGGGAUGGGCCCGCGUUGGAUUAGCUAGUUGGUCACGUAAAAGACCACCUAGGCGACGAUGCAUAGCUGGUCUGAGAGCAUGACCCACAACACUGGGACAGGCACACGGCCCAGAUUCUUACGAGUGGCAGCAGUCGUGAAUGUGGAACGACGCGCGAGAGCAUGAUGCAUUAGGGCCGUGUGGGUGAUGAAGAAGUUAGGAUUGUAAGGCUCUUUUACCCGUGAAGAUAGUGACAGUACCGUACGAAUAAGCGACGGCUAACUACGUG
rnacentral:rRNA from 1 species